UUUUUGUGGGGUGAUGGCGUGCCUUUUGAAGAAUGAGCCUGCGAGUCAGCGGCAUGUCGCGAGGUUAACCCGUUUGGUGGGGUAGUCGUAGCGAAAGCGAAUACUAACUAGUGUGUUGUCAGUGGCAUGUCCUGGACCCGAAGCGGGGUGAUCUACCCAUGGCCAGUGUGAAGCAGAGGUAAGACUCUGUGGAGGCGCGAACCCACUUAGGUUGAAAACUGAGGGGAUGAGUUGUGGGUAGGGGUGAAAGGCCAAUCAAACUCCGUGAUAGCUGGUUCUCCCCGAAAUGCAUUUAGGUGCAGCGUCGUGUGUUUCCUCCUGGAGGUAGAGCUACUGGUUGGUUUAGCGGGACUAUCAUCUUAGCGACAUCAGCCAAACUCCGAAUGCCGGUGAGGUCAGAGCACGGCAGUGAGACUGCGGGGGAUAAGCUUCGUAGUCGAGAGGGAAACAGCCCAGAUCGCCGGCUAAGGCCCCUAAGGGUGUGCUAAGUGGAAAAGGAUGUGGGAUCGCGAAGACAACCAGGAGGUUGGCUUAGAAGCAGCCAUCCUUGAAAGAGUGCGUAAUAGCUCACUGGUCGAGUGGUUCUGCGCCGACAAUGUAGUGGGGCUCAAGUACACCGCCGAAGCCGCGGCAAUCAUCUUUUUGGUGGUUGGGUAGGGGAGCGUCGCGUGACUGCUGUGAAGCGCUGGGGUAACCCUAGUGUGGAGUGUGCGCGAGUGAGAAUGCAGGCAUGAGUAGCGAAUGAGGAGUGGAAAACUCCUCCGCCGAAUGACUAAGGGUUCCUGGGCCAGGUUAAUCCUCCCAGGGUGAGUCGGGACCUAAGGCGAGGCCGACAGGCGUAGUCGAUGGAUAACGGGUUGAUAUUCCCGUACCCGUGUGUCCGCGCCCAUGGUGAAUCAGGGAUACUAACCCACCUGAACACGCGCCGUUUACUAGCCUUUUAGGUUGGUUGGUGUGUGUGAUGCUGGGGACCUGAACUGGUAGUAGCCAAGUGAUGGGGUGACGCAGGAAGGUAGCCGUGCCACGUGAUGGAUAUCGUGGUGUAAGCGUGUGGCCCGUGUUCUAGGUAAAUCCGGAGCACAUAUAGGGUGAGGCGUGAUGCGUACCCGUUUUGGGGAAGUUGGUGAUCCUAUGCUGCCGAGAAAAGCCUCUAGCGAUGUGGAUAUACGGCCCGUACCCGAAACCGACACAGGUAGUCAGGUAGAGAAUACUAAGGCGAUCGGGAGAACUGUGGUUAAGGAACUCGGCAAAAUGCCCCCGUAACUUCGGGAGAAGGGGGGCCAUGACUGGUGACCGACGUGGUUGAGCUGGUUGUGGCCGCAGAGAAUAGAGGGAAGCGACUGUUUACUAAAAACACAGGUCCGUGCGAAGACGGGUAAGUCGAUGUAUACGGACUGACGCCUGCCCGGUGCUGGAAGGUUAAGAGGACCUGUUAGACCCUUUGGGGUCGAAGCGGAGAAUUUAAGCCCCAGUAAACGGCGGUGGUAACUAUAACCAUCCUAAGGUAGCGAAAUUCCUUGUCGGGUAAGUUCCGACCUGCACGAAUGGCGUAACGACUUCCCUGCUGUCUCAACCACAGACCCGGCGAAAUUGCAGUACGAGUAAAGAUGCUCGUUACGCGCGGCAGGACGAAAAGACCCCGGGACCUUCACUAUAGCUUGGUAUUGGUGUUCGGUUCGGUUUGUGUAGGAUAGGUGGGAGACUGUGAUGCCUCAACGCCAGUUGGGGUGGAGUCGUUGUUGAAAUACCACUCUGAUCGUAUUGGACAUCUCAACCUCGGCCCGUGAUCCGGGUUAGGGACAGUGCCUGGUGGGUAGUUUAACUGGGGCGGUUGCCUCCCAAAGAGUAACGGAGGCGCCCAAAGGUUCCCUCAGCCUGGUUGGCAAUCAGGUGUUGAGUGUAAGUGCACAAGGGAGCUUGACUGUGAGACUGACAGGUCGAGCAGGUAGGAAACUAGGGACUAGUGAUCCGGCACCGGCUUGUGGAAGCGGUGUCGCUCAACGGAUAAAAGGUACCCCGGGGAUAACAGGCUGAUCUUCCCCAAGAGUCCAUAUCGACGGGAUGGUUUGGCACCUCGAUGUCGGCUCGUCGCAUCCUGGGGCUGGAGUAGGUCCCAAGGGUUGGGCUGUUCGCCCAUUAAAGCGGCACGCGAGCUGGGUUUAGAACGUCGUGAGACAGUUCGGUCUCUAUCCGCCGCGCGCGUAGAAACUUGAGGAAGGCUGUCCCUAGUACGAGAGGACCGGGAUGGACGUACCUCUGGUGUGCCAGUUGUCCCGCCUGGGGCAUGGCUGGUUGGCUACGUACGGAAGGGAUAACCGCUGAAAGCAUCUAAGCGGGAAGCCUGUUCCAAGAUUAGGUUUCUUUUGAGGUCCCCUAUAGAUGAUGGGGUUGAUAGGCCGGAUCUGGAAGCAUCGUAAGGUGUGGAGGUGACCGGUACUAAUAGACCAAACAUUCAACACACAAAGU
rnacentral:rRNA from 1 species